UACGAAGGGAGCUAGCGUUGUUCGGAAUCACUGGGCGUAAAGCGCACGUAGGCGGAUGUGUCAGUCAGGGGUGAAAUCCCGGAGCUCAACUUCGGAACUGCAUUCGAUACUGCCGUGCUUGAGGACUGGAGAGGAGACUGGAAUUUACGGUGUAGCGGUGAAAUGCGUAGAUAUCGUAAGGAAGACCAGUGGCGAAGGCGGGUCUCUGGACAGUUCCUGACGCUGAGGCACGAAGGCCAGGGGAGCAAACGGG
rnacentral:rRNA from 1 species